rnacentral:rRNA from 1 species
AAGGAAUAUCGGUCAAUGGACGCAAGUCUGAACCAGCCAUGCCGCGUGAAGGAUGAAGGUCCUCUGGAUUGUAAACUUCUUUUAUCUGGGACGAAAACGGGAUUUUUAUCUCAAUUGACGGUACCAGAGGAAUAAGCACCGGCUAACUCCGUGCCAGCAGCCGCGGUAAUACGGAGGGUGCGAGCGUUAUCCGGAUUUACUGGGUUUAAAGGGUGCGUAGGUGGGCUUAUAAGUCAGUGGUGAAAUCUCCGAGCUUAACUUGGAAACUGCCGUUGAUACUAUAGGUCUUGAAUUAUCUGGAGGUAAGCGGAAUAUGUCAUGUAGCGGUGAAAUGCUUAGAUAUGACAUAGAACACCAAUUGCGAAGGCAGCUUACUACAUAUAAAUUGACGCUGAGGCACGAAAGCGUGGGGAUC